rnacentral:tRNA from 1 species
UGCCUUUGUCGUACAGGAAUACGCCUUCCUUUUCGGGGGGGGGGCCGUUGGUUAUAUGCUGACAGGGGUUAC